rnacentral:tRNA from 1 species
AUGGUCUUAUAUUCAAAGUAAUGAUAUAGAAUUGCAAAUUUUAUGGUGUAAUUAAAUACUAAGGCUU